AGCCUCGUAGUGUAGCGGUCAAUCAUGCGGGACUCUGGAUCCUGCGACCUCAGUUCGAAUCUGAGCGAGGCUACCA
rnacentral:tRNA from 1 species